GUGCUCACUUCAGCAGCACAUGUACUAAAAUUGUAGGAAAAGAGAGAUUAGCAAGGCCUCCCUGCACAAGGAUGCCAAGCAAAUUGGUAAAGCAUUCCAUAAUUUU
rnacentral:snRNA from 2 species